UAGGGAAUAUUCCGCAAUGGGCGCAAGCCUGACGGAGCAACGCCGCGUGAGUGAUGAAGGUUUUCGGAUCGUAAAGCUCUGUCGUAAGGGAAGAAAUAGCUGGAACUAAUAUUUCCAGAAGUUGACGGUACCUUAAAAGAAAGCACCGGCUAACUACGUGCCAGCAGCCGCGGUAAUACGUAGGGUGCUAGCGUUGUUCGGAAUUAUUGGGCGUAAAGCGCGUGUAGGCGGAUUAGUAAGUCAGAUGUGAAAGCCCUGGGCUCAACCUGGGAAGUGCAUCUGAAACUGCUGAUCUUGAGUAUGGGAGAGGGUGACGGAAUUCCUGGUGUAGUGGUGAAAUACGUAGAUAUCAGGAGGAACAUCGGUGGCGAAGGCGGUUGCCUGGCCCAAUACUGACGCU
rnacentral:rRNA from 1 species